rnacentral:rRNA from 1 species
CGGCGAGUGAAGCGGCAAAAGCUCAAAUUUGAAAUCUGGCGUCUUCGACGUCCGAGUUGUAAUUUGAAGAAGGCGACUUUGUAGCUGGUCCUUGUCUAUGUUCCUUGGAACAGGACGUCAUAGAGGGUGAGAAUCCCGUGUGGCGAGGAUCCCAGUUAUUUGUAAAGUGCUUUCGACGAGUCGAGUUGUUUGGGAAUGCAGCUCUAAGUGGGUGGUAAAUUCCAUCUAAAGCUAAAUAUUGGCGAGAGACCGAUAGCGAACAAGUACAGUGAUGGAAAGAUGAAAAGAACUUUGAAAAGAGAGUGAAAAAGUACGUGAAAUUGUUGAAAGGGAAGGGCAUUUGAUCAGACAUGGCGUUUGCUUCGGCUUUCGCUGGGCCAGCAUCAGUUUUAGCGGUUGGAUAAAUCCUCGGGAAUGUGGCUCUGCUUCGGUAGAGUGUUAUAGCCCGUGGGAAUACAGCCAGCUGGGACUGAGGAUUGCGACUUUUGUCAAGGAUGCUGGCGUAAUGGUUAAAUGCCGCCCGUCUUGACCCCCCGG